rnacentral:rRNA from 1 species
UGAGGGCUCUGGGUCCACCUCCCACCCGUGUUUAUUUUACCUUGUUGCUUCGGCGGGCCCGCCUUAACUGGCCGCCGGGGGGCUUACGCCCCCGGGCCCGCGCCCGCCGAAGACACCCUCGAACUCUGUCUGAAGAUUGAAGUCUGAGUGAAAAUAUAAAUUAUUUAAAACUUUCAACAACGGAUCUCUUGGUUCCGGCAUCGAUGAAGAACGCAGCGAAAUGCGAUACGUAAUGUGAAUUGCAAAUUCAGUGAAUCAUCGAGUCUUUGAACGCACAUUGCGCCCCCUGGUAUUCCGGGGGGCAUGCCUGUCCGAGCGUCAUUGCUGCCCUCAAGCCCGGCUUGUGUGUUGGGCCCCGUCCCCCGAUCUCCGGGGGACGGGCCCGAAAGGCAGCGGCGGCACCGCGUCCGGUCCUCGAGCGUAUGGGGCUUUGUCACCCGCUCUGUAGGCCCGGCCGGCGCUUGCCGAUCAACCCAAAUUUUUAUCCAGGUUGACCUCGGAUCAGGUAGGGAUACCCGCUGAACUUAAGCAUAUCAAUAAGCGGAGGAAAAGAAA